GCCAGGCAUGGUGGCUCACACCUGUAAUCCUAGCUGCUUGAGAGGCUGAGGCAGGAGGAUUGCAAGUUUGAAGCCAACCUGGGCAACUUAGCAAGAUCCUAUCUCAU
rnacentral:sRNA from 1 species